GAUGUUUGUCUUCAAGACCAGACCAUGUGCCUGUGAGCACAGCGCAGAACCUAAGGUCGCCGGAAGUCGGUAAUGAACUUGGGGGUGUGGUGGUAAGGAACGCAGUGGCUAUUCCUGCAGGAACCUACAAGAUAAAAAGAAAUGGCUACUGCAGAUUCUUUUCAAGUCUUGAAAUCAUCCUUGGGGGCCCCAUUUCCUUCUCAAUGCCAAAUCAAUCGCCGGGCUCUGUUGAAUUUAUCUUUUUAAUUAUUUCUCAAAUGUUGGUCUCCUAAAAGGUCUGCCCUUUUCCCAGAUGAGGAUUUAUUCUCUUUUCUCAGAUUAUCUUAGUACCUGCACUCACACGCCCACCUUGCCCUAGAUCCAGAUGUGUUGUUCCAACCUUGGCCCAUCCCUCACACCUAUACUCCUAUCUAAGCUAGGGAAUGCCAGGUGCCCCCUCCCAGUAGCUACCAGUCUGAGCCUGAGCCUCAAACAAGGACUGUUGCUAAAGGUCUACACUUAAGACAGAGGCUUCUAGUGUCUUUAGGGCCAGGUUUCCUGGACACAGCCUGUGUUUUAGUCACCUUUUUCGCUGCUGUGACUAAAAGAUCUGACCAGAGCAAUUGUAGGGGAGGAAAAGUUAUUUGGGGGCUCACAGUUUCAGAAGUAUCAGUCCAUAGAAGACCAGCUCCAUUCCUUGGGGCUCCAAGUGAGGCAGAACAUCAUGGUAGAAGAGUGUGGUGGAGGGAAGUAGCUCAUAUGAUGAUCAGGAAGCAGAGAGACUCAACUCACUAGAUACAAUAUAUAUAUACCCCCCAAUCCACACCCCCACUGCCACCUCCUCCAGCCACACUCUACCCAUCUUCAGUUUCCACUCAGUUAAUCCCUAUCAGGGGGCUAAUUCAUUGACUGUCUUAAGGCUUUCAUAACCCAAUCAUUUGUCCUCUGAACCUUCUUGCAUUGUCUCACAUGUAAUUUUUUGAGGGACACCUCACAUCCAAAUCAUAACAACCCGGAAAAAGAAAGACAGGAAGAAAAGAAACCCAGGAAGGAUCAGAGUUCCAUACCCACCAGCCCCCAACAAGUAACAUUAGCAUCAAAAUGUUUCCUUCUUGCUGGAUUAUAUGGCACAUGCCUGUAAUCCCAGCAGCUCAGGAGGCUGAGACAGGAGGAUCCAG
rnacentral:lncRNA from 1 species